ACAGCAGCCGCCGCGGGAAUACGUAGGUGGCAAGCGUUGUCCGGAAUUAUUGGGCGUAAAGGGCUCGCAGGCGGUUUCUUAAGUCUGAUGUGAAAGCCCCCGGCUCAACCGGGGAGGGUCAUUGGAAACUGGGAAACUUGAGUGCAGAAGAGGAGAGUGGAAUUCCACGUGUAGCGGUGAAAUGCGUAGAGAUGUGGAGGAACACCAGUGGCGAAGGCGACUCUCUGGUCUGUAACUGACGCUGAGGAGCGAAAGCGCGGGGAGCGAACAGGAUUAGAUACCCGCGUAGUCCCUGUCUCUUAUAC
rnacentral:rRNA from 1 species